rnacentral:rRNA from 1 species
AGCGAACGCCGGCGGCAGGCCUAACACAUGCAAGUCGAACGAACUCUUCGGAGUUAGUGGCGGACGGGUGAGUAACACGUGGGAACGUGCCUUUAGGUUCGGAAUAACUCAGGGAAACUUGUGCUAAUACCGAAUGUGCCCUUCGGGGGAAAGAUUUAGCGCCUUUAGGCGGGCCCGCGUCUGAUUCGCUAGUUGGUGAGGUAAAGGCAGACCAAGGCGGCGUUCAGUAGCUGGUCUGUGAGCAUGAACAGCCACAUUGGGAUUGGGACAAGGCCCAACCCGCAAGGGGCGGUGGGGGGGGGGAAACUAGGGGAAGGGGCCAAAGGCAGACGCGCCCCGUGCGGGAUAACGGUCAAGGGGUUGGGAUUCGAAAUCGCUUUAGACGGGGAGGGAAAGACGGUAACGGGUAAAGAAGCCCCGGGUAACUACGGG